UCCCUGGUGGCUCAGAUGGUAAAGCAUCUGCCUGCAAUGCAGGAGACCUGGGUUCGAGCUCUGGGUUGGGAA
rnacentral:tRNA from 1 species